CUUAGUAUGAUAGGCUGGUUUUACAAUGUAUCUGAGUGUGUGUGAAUGUGUUUCAGGCUAGACAAAUUGGAAGAUUUGUUUUUACUAGUUCUUAGCUUGUUAUAGCAUCCACUCCUUAUUAACUAGUAAAUAAUAUACCUUCUCCUCUUUUAUCCUCAGAUUUGGCUUGUUCUUCUCCCCUAAGAAAGCUGAGCUUAGAGUAUACAUCAAUUCACACAACUUGGUUUGAAUUUAUAGAUACAUGCAAGAUGCAUCAAGCAUACCUUUCUGCUUUUGUGAUUCCCACCAUCAUGUGUAGCCAACUUCCAUCAAGCCCCAGCAUCUGUGCCUUUCAGCAUGACACUUAGAUCACUUCAGGACUAGUCUGAAAUCAGCUGUUUGAAAUUAUGCAUCACUAAUUUAUUGAUGUGGAUCAUGACGAAUCAAGGAAAGUGGAGUCAGAGCUGUGAGAAAAGAAGAAACACAUCUGGUGUAGGGUUUUAUGGGCUUACAGGGAUAGAGUCUAACUCUGAAGCUCAUGCUGGAGAGCAGUGGCAUGAUCAUAGUUCACCGCAGCCUCAAGCAAAAUUUUAAGAGUAGAACGUCAGUCUACUGACCCUCAACUUACGCUGAAUGUAAUGGCUUUUCUGGAGUGAGGGAGAAGACUGAGGGAAGAACCAGAAGGCUGCCAAAAUACAAUUGUGUGCCUUUAAAGGAAAUAACAACAAGAAUUAGGAGCGCCCUGGAGGCAAGAUGCAGACCCUGAGACAAGCAUUCAAGUAUGAUUGAUUUCUUUGGAAGAUGGUCCCAGGAAGUGCUGGCAGGAAAAUGGGAGAGUGACUCAGGAAGGAAAGAAGACCAUGAAGUUGUGGUAUCAAGUCAGUUACCUACCAGCAACUGGAGGUCGGGAUCUCCAGAAAACUCUGGUAGGCAAUGGAGGACGCUCAUCAAUUAUUCUCACUAAAGUACCAAAAAGUGGAGCCAAUCAUCCACCAACUUCUUGCCUUGGUUGAAGACAUUCACUCUUCCCUUGCCUUGCAAGUAGGUCAAGCAUGCUUCCUGGGCAAAAAGGAUCCCUGGACAGAGCAUCACUCAGUCCACUGUAGCUCCUGAUUAAAAUGCAAUAAAACUAAAAUCAAUACAGCACCGGCAUACCUUGAUACCAUUUUUGCCUUUGCAACUUAUUCCAUUCUUCCUCCUCCCUGCCUUCAUCCUGAGCUCUAUAAUAACAAAAGAUAGUUAAGGAAGGCAUUGCCCCUUUUGUUCUUGCUCAACCAAGACCUGAAGCAGAGUUGGAUUACUUCCACAGAGCAGGGAGAUUGAAUUUCAUUUUGCUAGGAAAAGAGGUAAGUUUCCAUGAAGAAAUAUCCUCCCUGAUGCCCUUCACCCCUUCUCUGACCCUGCACCUGCACAGAAGAAAAGAGUGAUCAUUUCCCUAGACCCCUGGGUAAUUGAUUCUCUUUGGUGUCCUCUAACAUUUCUGAGACUGCUUCCAUAUCCUGGACUCUAAUCUAUCUGCUUAACUUUCUGGAAGCAAUGCCAUUUCAUCGUGAACUACUUAAGGGCAAUGUUUGAAUUUUUUUGGUGCCAACUUUGUAUCCUUUACACCUUGGACAUAAAGCAUGCUUAAAAAUAUUAGUGUUGCACGUGGGACAUAAAGGGUGAUUAAAGAUAUUAUUUUGGAUGGACGAAUGGAUAAAUAAUGAAUGAGUGAAGAAGUAAGUGAAUGACUGCCCCUGUCCCCUAUGAUAUUCUGGUGACUGGCUUGGGGAUGAGUUUGCUUCGCCAUCCUGAUCCUUGUUCAUUGCUUCAAGUUAUUCACUAUCUGUUCCCCAAAACCACUAGGGUAUUACUGCUCAGGACACCAGCUUUUGCAGAACUGCAUCUCAAACCCCAGUUUUCACUCUUCUUCGCACAUCUCACCUUCUCAACUCUUCAUUUGCUUUCCCUGCCCUUUGGUAUGCAGGCCCUUGCAAUAAGGUAAGAUAUUGAUUAAUAAUAAGCUCCGGUAAGCUCCAGUCAAAUUUUAUUAAAACGUUCUUUUGAGGGAUAUUUUUAUUUUAAAAGAUGGUGCCAGGAUGAUCCUAAAAGAUGCCGUUUCUGAGUUUGCAAAGUGGUUAGGAAAUAUAUUCUGGAGCUGGUCCCCCUGCUAUGCCCUAAUUCUGCCAUACAAUCACCUUCCUCUCUCUUCUGUGGACAGAGAUUGGGCAUGGGGGUGUGGCUUUCCUGCCCCAUCAUCUGUAAAUAAAUUAUAUUCCUCUGUGACCAUUGCCUAUCUUAUUUCCCAACAAGAAGAUAAGAUGUGGUUUGGGGAUUUCAACUCCCAAGUUCAGCUGUGAGGCCUAUGGACUGAAUCUUAAGCUUUUUCUUGACAUCAGAUAUCUCCAUGUAUAUGGCAAUUCCUGCCACAGAACUCUACUCUCAAAAAAGCCCCAGCACCCCUGAGGUAAAUGUCUGAAGAAAGGAUGUGGGUGGGGAACUGGGGAGGUGAGAUUUUAACCGAGGGUAUCAUAUGAGUAUCACAGAGUAGUCCCAAAAUGAGUAAAAAUGACCCUAAAGUCCUAAAAAUGACCAUAAAGUUCAUACAUAUGUGAAAAGAAAAUGGGAGAGAAAAAUAAGACCACCGUCUCUGGCAAGAAAAGUCUGUGGGAUCAGAGGGUUUAGGUUUACAAGAGUCAAAAGGAACCCACACCUGAGUAUCUUGAGGAUGGCACAUUGGUGGAUAAUGACCACAUAAACUAAAUUUUUCUCACAAACAAAAAGAACUUGAGUAGUGACAGAUGAUGGCAUGGAGAGGGCUUAGGGUUAUAGGAGGGAGAAGAGUUGUGAAAUUAGCAAGGAAACAGGUUUUUCCUUAAAAAAUGACAGUGAGCUAUCUUAAUUUUGGUGGAUCACUUUAUGCAAGGCCUCACAAAAUCUUACUUGCAAAAUUAAUUCAAAUUAGAUAUGAGCAUGGUCAUAUGUAUUGAAACCUAGCUUGUAGUAAUAAAUGGAACAGGGCAACAGUAAAUGACAAUAUAUCACGGGGAAAGGAGAUUUUUUUUAGUGCAGGGCUUGGAGGCCUGGUAUUUUGUCUGGUCUUAUUUAACAUCUUCAUUAAUGAUCUGGAGGAGGACGUAAACAAUAAUACAAUAAUAAAAUCUGCACAUCAAAGUUGAAAAACAAACCCUGAUGAAGUCUGAAAAGUAAUGUAAAGGAAUCUUAAGGCAUCAGAAAUUGAAUCAGAAAACAAAAUGAAAGCUGAAUGGAAAGGAAAAAGAUACAUGCAUAUAUACACAUAAUCUUAGUCUAAAAGAUUAUAUACACA